AACGAACGCUGGCGGCAUGCCUAACACAUGCAAGUCGAACGAUACCUCCGGAGCUAGUGGCGCAGGGUUACGUAACGCGGGGUAACCUGCCCUUGGGUUAGGAAUAACUCCCCGAAAGGGAUGCUAAUACAGGGUCAUGUCUUCGGACAAAAGAUUUAUCGCCGUUGGCUGGGCGCGCGUUGGCUUAGCUAGUUGGUAGUGUAACAGCAUACCAAGGACACGAUCCAUAGCUGGUCGGAGAGGAUGAUCAGCAACACUGGGAACAAGGCACGGCCCAGAAUCCUACGCAAGGGUGCAGAGUGUAAUAUAGUACGCGGGGCGCAAGCGUGAUCCAGCAGUGCGGGGUGAGAGAUGAAUCCCUUAGGGUUGUUAAGUUCUCUUACACGGGAUGAUAAUGACGGUACCUGCAGAAUAAGCUCCGGCUAACUACGUG
rnacentral:rRNA from 1 species